CUUGCUGAGGUGCGAGUCCAACUUUCAUGAAGGCAGACUGACUGGAGUCCAAGCUGGUUUGUUAGCUUGAAAACAGCUGGAAAGUUCGUGUUUAGUUUCAGUUCUGCUUUUAACCAGUACCUUUGGUUGGUUCUGCCUGCGAACAGCUAACUCUUAUAGUUUACAUAGCCAGUAAAGCUAAAGAUUAAGCAGACACUUGUGAAUUGACAUUAGACGAUUUGCCGCUUCACACUUCACUCCAGUCGGCGGCGCUAAUGCGCUAAUAAGCUGACUGAACAGCCGACAUUUAAAAGACAACGAAGCGGCACCGGAAGCAGCCAGUUGUGUGCCGUGUCUGCCUCGGCUGGGACACAUGUGAGACCGGUCACUUUGAAGCCGCUCCUGGGCUGGACGUUACUUGGGUUCUCAAAGGUCUUGCGGGGCAGUUAAGCCACCGAGUCCACAAAGCUGAACCUAAACCAGGUUCCUCUGCAAGACAACAUCUGUUUGACAACACGUGAGUGACCAUGAAGAAAACCUGAAGUUAAUAACGUUUGCCUUCGUGCGGUCAGCCGCUACCUCAGCUCAUCGCUCAGUGACGUCCACAUGUUGGCAGCAUCAGAGGACCCCCCCCCCACCCCCCGGUAGGCCUGUCACUGUCGUCACACAGGAGACCACUGAGCAGUAACUGUGUUGUAGUGUCACAUUCAUGUGUUUAUUUGGAUGUUUUGUUUUUUUAAGCCUUAUAUUAGUUUGUAUUUGCAACGAUUUAAUUCAAUAAAACUCGUGACAACAUCG